rnacentral:lncRNA from 1 species
AUUGGUAUGGCAGCAUACAUCUAAUGUCCCCGCUGUUGUCCUGCAUCUCAGCCUGACCAUCUCUGGCAGCAGAGGCUUGUGCCUGUGGGACACUCAUGACAGAUGCAUGCCUGGAAGAUGUUCCCGUGAAUUCUGCCAUGGGAUGAUGACAGCCUACUUCAUGGAAGCCUCUGCUUUGUCAAGUAGAACCAUCUAUGGUGCUGGAAGUCAGUGGAAGGCUUGGCAUAACCAAGAAAUGAAGUCAUGGAGGUCAGCUGGCCUUGAUGCUCCAAUGGUUGAGACAUUCCCAAGUGAGUCUGUGCCUCAGGUUUCACUCUGCAGGUGUAUUUGUGCAGUCACAGGAGGAAGGGAGGCGCAUCCUCCACUGCUGCUUGUCACCAGCAUGGUAUGUAUG